rnacentral:rRNA from 1 species
AGAGUUUGAUCCUGGCUCAGGAUGAACGCUGGCGGCGUGCCUAACACAUGCAAGUCGAGCGAUUCUCUUCGGAGAAGAGCGGCGGACGGGUGAGUAACGCGUGGGUAACCUGCCCUGUACACACGGAUAACAUACCGAAAGGUAUGCUAAUACGGGAUAACAUAAGAAAUUCGCAUGUUUUUCUUAUCAAAGCUCCGGCGGUACAGGAUGGACCCGCGUCUGAUUAGCUAGUUGGUGAGGUAACGGCUCACCAAGGCGACGAUCAGUAGCCGACCUGAGAGGGUGAUCGGCCACAUUGGAACUGAGACACGGUCCAAACUCCUACGGGAGGCAGCAGUGGGGAAUAUUGCACAAUGGGCGAAAGCCUGAUGCAGCAACGCCGCGUGAGCGAUGAAGGCCUUCGGGUCGUAAAGCUCUGUCCUCAAGGAAGAUAAUGACGGUACUUGAGGAGGAAGCCCCGGCUAACUACGUGCCAGCAGCCGCGGUAAUACGUAGGGGGCUAGCGUUAUCCGGAUUUACUGGGCGUAAAGGGUGCGUAGGCGGUCUUUUAAGUCAGGAGUGAAAGGCUACGGCUCAACCGUAGUAAGCUCUUGAAACUGGAGGACUUGAGUGCAGGAGAGGAGAGUGGAAUUCCUAGUGUAGCGGUGAAAUGCGUAGAUAUUAGGAGGAACACCAGUGGCGAAGGCGGCUUUCUGGACUGUAACUGACGCUGAGGCACGAAAGCGUGGGGAGCAAACAGGAUUAGAUACCCUGGUAGUCCACGC